CCCAGCACACCACAGGGGACUCAGCACCCUCAGGAUGCUCUGCGGCUGCCCUUCGUUUCUGACCCAGGGGGACCCAUGGACCUCAGUGCGGGCUUUGCCAGCCUCUACGCCUAGAGGAUGCCUGGCCCCAAGGGCGUGCGGGGAUGAUGCUUUCUCCCACCAACAGCCACUAUGGAAGUGCUGAGCUGGUUAAGGAAGCGUUGACCUCUCCAGAACACAUCAUGGGGUGAACCAGAACGCUGGUGCAAAGGGCAAGGGAGGGUGAUGCGAGUCUGUGGCUCUUCUCAAAGCAGCCAAAACCAGCCAUCAUCUCCCUCUCGGUUAUUCAAUAAGCAGCUUGUUGGAUGAGCUUCCUUCCCCGCUGCCUGCUCUGUCCCACUGUCCAUCAGUCCAGGCUGCCGGGACAUCCCCCACGUGCAGGCAGGGUCCAGGCUGGAUGGAGCCGGGAUAACAACAAAGAUGCUCCCAUCGUGGCUGGGUCUCCCAUUGGGGCCCAUGGGCUGCUCUGGGGUCGGGCUGGGAGAAGUGCAAGCUGGACCAUCUUUCCUGCUCACCCACCAAUGCACCCUUCCCCACAGGUCCCAGGCAAGCCGGUUCCCGUCAGCACACUCAGUCUGUCGCUCGCCAAACCCACCUCAGCCACUGUGAAGGUUUUGUGUUCAAAAGGAGCCAGGGAGGAUGCAGCUGCUUUAAAUCUAUAUUGAGGCCUGCCGGGCACAGCCUGUUUCUUUACUCCACAUUGGUACAAAGCUCUGUGGAAUGGGGCUGGAACGUGCUGACCUGGGAAUAAAGGCCGUAGAAGAGGGAUCGAACCGGUUUGGGCUUCCCUGGGGAACAAUGCUCAGCCUCUCAGCAAGCCGUGGCCAUGAUGCGUUGCAGGGGGAAGACACAGAGAAUGUUCUGCGGACCAGGGCUUCCAAUAAGGCAAGCUGCAGUUCAGGGUGUACUCUGAAUUGCUUCAUCACCACUCCUAAUGGCUUAACCAACACAAUCCAUAUUCAUAAAUCAAAACAGGAGCAGGAGCGACCUCUGUUCAGCUCUGCUGCUGAGCCGUGGUGCAUCCAGAAAUAAGGGCAGAUUAUAUAUUGCAGGCAGCAGCUCUGUAUAUAUCUUCUGCGGCUGCCACGACUUGGCCUUCGUAUUAACUGAGCCUAAGGAGAGACGAUACAAUCAAAUCUGUCUGUUGGCGUCUGAAGGAUUAGCUGAGUCAACCAGGAAAAAGCUGAGCUAAUUUAUUAUGCUAUUUUCAGUUCCGAAAUGUACCGUGGAUGUAAUUUCACCCUCAAUUACAGAUCCCACCGUCCUACAGAACAUAAUUAUCAAAAACGUUCUUUUUUUGCUGCAUUUAGUGUUUGGAUUUGGGCAUCGCAGCGGCGUGGUGGCAGCUCCACAGCCAGGGCUCGCUGAUGAGAUCUGGGAAGUGGAACCAGCAGAGAGAUGGAAUGAAUGGAUUUGUUCUCUCCGGCCAAGGAAAAUGUGGUGCAGGGAGGAGAGUGUCACAGAUGUGUUGGCAGAAGGACACGGUGAACCAUGCAGGGCUGUCGGCAGCGCUGGGUUGGAUCAGCUGCAGCUUCUUCUGCCCCCCCUGAGGAUGGAUUAUCCCCCAUUUUCCACCCUGAACCCCACAAAGUGUCAUUGGAAAGCACAGCACAGAGCCUGGCUUUUUGCAGCUGCCCUUUGGGUAUCUUAGGCAUGCUGGGGAGGGACUCUUCAUCAGGGACUAGUGAUAGGACAAAGGGGAAUGGGUUCAAACUUAA